rnacentral:rRNA from 2 species
UGGGGGAUAUUGCACAAUGGAGGAAACUCUGAUGCAGCAACGCCGCGUGAGGGAAGAAGGUCUUCGGAUUGUAAACCUUAGUAGUCAGGGACGAAACAAAUGACGGUACCUGAAGAGUAAGCUCCGGCUAACUACGUGCCAGCAGCCGCGGUAAUACGUAGGGAGCGAGCGUUGUCCGGAAUUACUGGGUGUAAAGGGUGCGUAGGCGGGACUGCAAGUCAGGCGUGAAAUACCGGGGCUUAACUCCGGGGCUGCGCUUGAAACUGUGGUUCUUGAGUGAAGUAGAGGCAGGCGGAAUUCCUAGUGUAGCGGUGAAAUGCGUAGAUAUUAGGAGGAACACCAGUGGCGAAGGCGGCUUUCUGGACGACAACUGACGCUGAGGCGCGAAAGCGUGGGGAGCAAACAGG